CCCUUCCAGAUGACCUACGUUCCCAGUGGGAAUUCUGGCUCCAAGGUCUACAAAACUUGUCUGAAGUAAGGAUCCAACGAAGCUACUUGCCAUCAAGUUUCAAGGAGGUGCAGAGUUAUGAGCUCCAUCACUUCUCCGACGCUAGUACCUCAGGUUAUGGAGAGUGCUCAUACCUCAGAACAAUCAGCACCGCAGGAGAAGUUCAUUGCUCCCUAGUUAUGGCAAAGUCGAGAGUCGCCCCUUCCAAGGUUACGACCAUACCACGACUGGAACUUUCAGCAGCGGUGGUAGCUGUUCGAACAAGUGACAUGCUCAAAAAGGAGUUAGAGAUACAAGGUCUACAGGAAUACUUCUGGACAGAGUCGAAGGUAGUUCUUGGCUACAUCAACAAUGAAGCCAGAAGAUUCCACGUCUUUGUAGCUAACCGUAUUCAACGCAUUAAACCUCCAACACAGACAGAAAUGGAGUAAAGACUGAAGAAACGCAAGGAUUAAUGACAUUGUCAUUUUGCAAGAUGAUACUGCACCACGCAACCAGUGGAAAUUGGCAAAGGUUACAGAAGUGUACCCGGGACAGGAUGGCCGGGUGAGAAGAUUCAAGUUACUGAUCAGCGACUCAACCGAAGAUGAGAGAGGUAAACGCAUCACCAAACCCACCUGUCUGGAGAGGCCCAUCCAUAAGACAGUCACCCUCCUGGAAGCCGAUCAAGAAACCUGCAGACCCCUUUCACAGAAAUCACUGGUGAUUGGUGGGAGUGUAACUGACAGUUAGACUUACAGGUUAUGUCGUUGUCUUUUGUUUGAAUUGUUUAUGUGUCCGCUGUGCGGGGGAAAUGAUAAUACAAGCGGAACUACGUAGCUAAUACUGUUGUAACGGGGAUCCUUAUUGUAGCAACACACCUUUGGAGGGAAGGCAAUCCUGCGCUGCGUUAGCUAAGUUUUCAUGUCAUCGGGUGUAGUUCAUAAUGGUUGAAGAGUGUAUGUUAGGAUGAAGUGUGAAUUCAUGCCAGGAAUAAUAAGUGUGAAGUUUAAUUUCCUCCCUUCUGUAAUAAGCAGCCAAUGAGUUCUCACGGAAGGUGAUAAUUCUGACUAAAACUACAGAAUAAAGCCGCCAGUUAAAAUCAA